CGGACGUGGGUAACCUGCCUCAUACAGGGGGAUAACAGUCAGAAAUGACUGCUAAUACCGCAUAAGCGCACAGAGCUGCAUGGCUCAGUGUGAAAAACUCCGGUGGUAUAAGAUGGACCCGCGUUGGAUUAGCUUGUUGGUGGGGUAACGGCCCACCAAGGCGACGAUCCAUAGCCGGCCUGAGAGGGUGAACGGCCACAUUGGGACUGAGACACGGCCCAG
rnacentral:rRNA from 1 species